UACAGAGGUCCCGAGCGUUGUUCGGAUUCACUGGGCGUAAAGAGCGUGUAGGCGGCCAGGUAGGUCGGUUGUGAAAACUAGAGGCUUAACCUCUAGACGUCGACCGAAACCAUCUGGCUAGAGUCCGGAAGAGGAGAGUGGAAUUCCGUGGUGUAGCGGUGAAAUGCGCAGAUAUCAGGAAGAACACCCGUGGCGAAAGCGGCUCUCUGGGACGGUACUGACGCUGAGACGCGAAAGCGUGGGGAGCGAACAGG
rnacentral:rRNA from 1 species